rnacentral:lncRNA from 1 species
GGCGGCGCAGGAGUCGUCCCCUGGUCGCCGCCUUCCUGCGAGACCCGGGCUCGGGCCGCGUGUACAGGCGCGAGAAGCUGAUCGGCAAGGGCGCCUUCAGCCGCUGCUACAAGCUGACAGACAUGUCCACUAGCGCCGUGUUCGCCCUCAAGGUGGUGCCGUGUGGCGGGGCUGGGGCCAGGUGACUUCGCCCGCAGGGAAAGGUGGAGCGCGAGAUUGCCCUGCAUAGCCGCCUGCGACC